GAUCAUGUCCAACCCAAAGCAUUCUGAGAUCCUGUGAUUUUGCCACCCUACACACAGGUUUGGUCUUUAGCUGAAAGCAAUGCUUAUGAAAAUGUGCUCCAUUGCAUAACUGCAAGACUGAGUAAGCAGAACUGCUGAGACUCGGACAGAAACGUAUCUAUGGCAUGGAGUGCAAAGUCCUGUUUGAAUUUUUUUAAUGGAUCUCAGCUAGGCACUGUUAGUUUCCAUGUGGCAAGGUCCCAGGUGUGGUGAGGUUAUCCCUGGUUUUCUGUCACACUACCCACUCUAGUCCAAGGUGUAGGAGAGAGAGUUUGUGAGGAGGAAAAGAAUAUGCAACUGCAUACUUCAGUUCUUCUGAAUUUUUUAA